CAUGGCUCAGAACGAACGCUGGCGGCGUGCUUAACACAUGCGAGUCGAACGCGAAAGGGACUUCGGUCCUGAGUAAAGUGGCGCACGGGUGAGUAACGCGUGGAUAAUCUACCCAAUGGUCUGGGAUAACAUUUCGAAAGGGGUGCUAAUACCGGAUAAGACCACGGAGUCUUUGGACUCUGCGGUAAAAGGUGGGGACCUUCGGGCCUACCGCAAUUGGAUGAGUCCGCGUACCAUUAGCUAGUUGGUAGGGUAAAGGCCUACCAAGGCGACGAUGGUUAGCUGGUCUGAGAGGAUGAUCAGCCACACUGGAACUGAGACACGGUCCAGACUCCUACGGGAGGCAGCAGUGGGGAAUUUUGCGCAAUGGGGGAAACCCUGACGCAGCAACGCCGCGUGAGUGAUGAAGGCCUUCGGGUCGUAAAGCUCUGUCAGAGGGGAAGAAAUGCGGGGUGCUAAUAUCACUUCCGCUUACGGUACCCUCAAAGGAAGCACCGGCUAACUCCGUGCCAGCAGCCGCGGUAAUACGGAGGGUGCGAGCGUUGUUCGGAAUUAUUGGGCGUAAAGCGCGUGUAGGCGGUUUGUUAAGUCUGAUGUGAAAGCCCCGGGCUCAACCUGGGAAGUGCAUUGGAAACUGGCAGACUUGAAUACGGGAGAGGGCAGUGGAAUUCCUAGUGUAGGAGUGAAAUCCGUAGAUAUUAGGAGGAACACCGGUGGCGAAGGCGGCUGCCUGGACCGAUAUUGACGCUGAGACGCGAAAGCGUGGGGAGCAAACAGGAUUAGAUACCCUGGUAGUCCACGCCGUAAACGAUGAGUACUAGGUGUUGCGGGUAUUGACCCCUGCAGUGCCGCAGCUAACGCAUUAAGUACUCCGCCUGGGAAGUACGGCCCGCAGGGCUAAACUCAAAU
rnacentral:rRNA from 1 species